rnacentral:SRP_RNA from 2 species
GCUGGGCGUGGUGGUGUGUGCCUGUAGUCCCAGCUACUUGGGAGGCUGAGGUGGGAGGAUGGCUUGAACCCAGGAGGCAGAGGUUGCAGUGAGCCAAGAUGGUGCCACUGCACUCCAGCCUGGGUGAUAGAGCCAGAUCCUGUGUCAA